GGGGGAUUAGUUCAGUUGGGAGAACACCCGGUUUGCAACCGGGCGGUCCGCGGUUCGAACCCGCGAUCCUCCACCA
rnacentral:tRNA from 1 species